CAAGGUGGUUGCUUGUUUGAAAAAGGUGAAUUGGGGCACAAGAGAAAUAGCCAGUUGACUACAACUCCCGGCACCCCCAGUAAGCUGGAAUGACGCACUUCCGGCAGCUGGCCUGUGGCGUGGUGGAGUCUUGGCCACCGCCUGGAACAGGGCAAGAGGGUCGUUAACCUUCUGGCGCCGCUCGGUCCUGUUCCGCCCAACAGGGUCGCUUUUCUUUGGCUCUACCCUUGGAAAGGAGGCUGUUGAGUUAACUUUAUGUCUUCCUGGCCACCUAGGCAGCACUGUCUGCCCUGGAGAUUACUGGACGGCACUUUCGUAAUUUUGCAAGUUUGGGAGAUGAGAGGGUCGAGGCCGUCCUUAGUGAUCACGAUUCCUCCCCACAGCCGUCCCCAGCUGUUGUUUGCGUCAGGGUGUGAUGACGCUGCUCUUCCGGUUACAGAGCACGAUAGUUUUGCUGGGAUUCGAGAGGCCAUUUGCUGUGGCCAAGGAUUGUGUAUACUAAGGAUUAUCAAACCAUGGUUUGCCAAAGCAGCACCUGGUUGGGAGGGGGAGGUAGGGAGGGGCUUUUAAAAAAUACAGAUUACUGGUCUAGAAAUUGAUUCACUAGAUGAUUCUGAGGCAUCUUAUGAGCAACAGUGGUGUGCGAGAAUCAGGCAAGCUCUUGACCUUCACCUUACCCUGAGUUUAAAGUACUUUUGGACUUCCAAAGCUGAACAUGGGCUCCUUGUUCGUUUUGUAAUUGAAGUGGUUCUGUAAAUCCUCUCCAGCUGAAAAAGGCAUGGUUUUUUAGUGGGCUGUGUAACCUAUUUAAUGGGCGCUCAGUAUAUGCGAGGCACUCUGUACCUAAUGAAUAUUAUACUAUUUAAUCCUCAUAGCAACUCUUUAAAAGGUGGGCACUAUUAUUCCCAGUUUGCAGAUGAGGGAGUAAGUUGCACAAGGAUAGUAAGGAAUGGGCAGGGCCUAAGCAGUGCAGAAAAUGUACAGUUAAAAAAAAAAAACAGUUUGAAUUGGUGUUAAAAGCACUAUAUGUGGAGUCAGGAUAUUGUUUUUCCAACCUACUGUGCUACUUACAGGUUGUAUGUCUUUAGGCAGAUCUUACCCGUUUAGGUCCUCAGUUUAUUCACUUGUAAAAUGCUGGGGUUAGGGUAACAGUCCUUCUGAACGGGAGUUACUCGUCAGAAGCCCCUGGGAAACUUUAUAAAAAUAAAGAUUUGGAGGUCCUACCCCAGAGAUUCUGAUUCAGAAGAACUAGUGUGAAGCCUAGAAUUUUUUUUCUAAGGUGCUGCCCAAGUGAUUCUUAAUUAUCAGCCCAGUUUGAGAAUCACUGCUGGAUCUGUAAAUAGUGAACCAGUUCUUAGUAUUUGGUGAUUUUGAUUAAGACGGUGAUUAUUUGUUAGAGAAAGGACUCUUGAUAUUUCUUUGUUCUUCAGAGUUACCAUGCCAUUGUUAAGGUGUUUAAAUUAUACUGUCAAAGUUCACCAUGUAGUGAAAUCCCAUGCAAUCUUUUUCUAAAGUGAGGACUAGUUAAAUUAAGAAGAAGAAUCCCCUAUCUUUAUUUACAAAUCUGGGUUUUUAUUUAUUGGUUUUGCUUCUGUUAAGGUAUAAUUAGUGGGAGGUGUAGACUCUAUAGAACACAGACUUUAGUAACAUAUAGAUGUAUGUAAUUUUCGAAUCUGUCACUUAAUAGUUACCUGUACUUAUUUAACUGAAGCUCAUCUAUGAAAUGGGAUAAUAAGAUACAUGUGUGAAAAACUGUUAAUAGCAUAUGGAACAUAGAUGUCCCAUAGCAGUAGCUAUUAUUAUAGUUUUUAAAUGGUGAAAAGCCAUUUAGAAAUUAGUAAGCACCAAUGAUUUUAAAUAAUACUCAGCAAAUACUGAAAUGGAAUUUGACUUGAGAAUCAGCUUCAAGGUAGAGAUAAAAAAAAAAGAUCAUUUUUAUUGGUUAAACCUUCUAUGUAGGGAUACCAUCCUUCAGGUCCUUGCUAUUAUUGUUUGGCCAAAGACCUGAAAGUUUUCAAAGACUGCUUGAAUCUGAAUCACCUGGGGGCAUUUGUUGAAAGUGCAGAUUCCUAGAUCAUGUCUACACCUACUGAAUCUGAAUCUUUUGCACAUUAAAGGUUUUAAGAACUACUGAGUGUCCAUAGGGCAUGUGGUACUUUUUUUUUUUAGGCCACAGACAGGCUAUCUCCAUAAUUCCUUUUGGUGAUGUCCUUAGAGCUACACUAAUGGAUGAAAUCAAUCCUAGGGACUUUUGCCCUUAAGCACCUUACUUGCCCUUCUCUACCACUGCCAAUAGCAUUGGCUGAGUAGAUUUCUGUCACCAUUAAUGUCCUUUUUAUGCUCCUUGUUCUGUUUUCCUUUGUGUUGCAGUAAGCAGAAUGAAGAUCAAAAGAAAUUCAGAAAAGGGAGCAAAGAAGAAGUGAUAGUAAACAAGUGCUAGAAAUACAAGGCAGACACAGGAUUUGGGAAAAGUUUGGGAUAGAUGGAAUCAAUCAUUCAGAAUCUAUCAUUCGAUAAAAGUAUCUGCUGAGUAGCAGGCAUUGUUCUAGGUUUUGGGGAUUUCAGCAAGGAAUAUCUGCUUUCCCAAGGAAUUUACCUGCAUGUGUGUGCAUGGGUGUGUGUGUGUGUGUGUGUGUAUUUUGGGAUGGAGGAGGUUACAUAGUAUAAAUCAGUGAGCAACAUAAUUUCAGAUAGAGAUAUGUUUAUGAAGACAAAACAGGAUGAUAGGAUGCUGUGAUAUUUGUGUGUGUAUAUGGUGUGUUACUUUAAACUGGGUAGUCAGAGGUGACCAGAAGAUAACAUUUGAGCUGCUCCUGCAUAUUAAGGAGUCAGUUAUGGAAAAAUUUGGAGUCAGAGCAUUCCAAGCCUUAAGGUUGUUAAACAGGAUAUAAGAUACUGUGACUUUGACACAGUGGGAAGGAGCUUGGUAUCAUUGGGGACGAGAAUGAAGCCUGUGAGGUUAGACCACAUAGUGACCUUCAGAGUUCCUGGAGAUGAAUUUGGGGAGGUAGGCAAGGGCCAUAUUUUAUAGGCCUUAUAGGCCAUUGUUAUAGGGGUGUGAUGGGGAGUUGAGGGCCAUGGUGGGGAGGUGGACUUUAUUACAAAUACAGUGAGAAGCUUUUGGAGAACUUUGGGAAGGAGAAUGACUUACCUGUUUUACACUUCUUAGAGAUUGGUGGGGGAAGAGUGUAACAGCAAAGAAUCCCUGUUUAGAGGCAGUAAUCCAGGGAAAAGACGAGAGAACUAGUGUAAAGAUUAGGAAUCUAUUUUGUAGGUGGAUCUGACAGGGCUUGCUAAUGAACCAUUGCUUUGACAAUCUAUUUCUUAAAGUAUAUUCUCUCCACAUUUUCUUUUUUAUGAGUUGGCAGCGAUGUAGUGAUAGGUAACACUGACAAAGCUUGAAUCGUACCUCUUGCCCACAUCUAAUUAUUAAAUUUAGGAAUGGGCUCAGCACACAGAAGCAUGAAUAAAGCUGAUUUUUUUUUAAAUAUUUGCUUAAUUAACCAGGAACCAAGAAGAACUGGAAAAAGCCCCAAACACAGACAUACUGGCAGACACACACACACACGCACACACACCUCCACACCCCACCCCCCUUAACUUUACCUCAAUUCUCUGAUUUCUUCAUUCUUUGGGAAUAGGCUUAUAUUUUGUUUUUUUUCCUUUUUCCCUUGGCCCUCCUCUUUAUGAGGAAUUAUUUUCCUUAAUUCAUGAGAUAGAUUACCUUCUGACUUUUUCUCAAAUCCUUCUUCAGAAUUAAUUUUGUCCAAUUCUCUGAUCACACUGGGGCCCAGUCAAAAGAGUAAAAAAGUAUUGACAUUCUCAAAUGCUCUGAGUUCCUAGCCUGAGGUUGUUUGUUUGUUUAGAGGUGGGCAGGAAGGUUUCUUUUUUCCCAGUAGCUCUUGUCACCUUACUCCUAUAUCUGUCUUUUAUGUUACUAUAGAACAUGGUAACUAAAUUGCUAAAGAAUUUUUCCUACUUUUCAGCUAACUUACUUAUACUUAGUUAUAUUUGAAAUAUUUUGGGUUUAUAUUGUAGCUUUCCUUUCAAUUCUUAGGAAAUGUUAACAUAUUUCUCAUCUGUUAUCAUGAAUAAAUGUCAAGUUGUAAGAAAUACUUUCGAAGGCAGAAGAGCUGGUUCUAGACAUGGCUUUCACACUAACCAGCUGUGUGUUCUUGAGCAAAUCAUUUGACUUCCCUAGAUCCUAGUUUCUUAGUGGUUCAGGGACAUAUGAUCUCUGAGAUUCCUUUCAGCAUCUCAUUAGCUCCACAUGGAUGAUGGAGAUAGUUAAAAAGAACAAUUCAGACAAAACCAUGUAUUUUCUUUCAUCUCACUUAUCUAAAAUUAUUUUUAGCUCUGUCCAUCUCUUAGCUCUGUCCAUCUCUACUACCAUCUUUUUUUUAAAGAUUGUAUUUAUUUUUGCAAGAAGUAGCGAGUGCACCAGCUGGAGGGGGGGAGGGCACAGGGAGAAGCAGAUUCCCUGCUGAACAAGGAGACCUAUGCGGAACUUGAUCCCAGGAUCCUGAGAUCAUGAGCCAAAGGGAGACACUUCACCCACCUACUGAGCCACCCAGGCGCCCUCUCUUACCACCUUAAAAGUAACUCUGCUCCACUCUAUUCUGAUUUAACUUUGUGUGUUUAUCUGAAAUCAAAUCAUUUUGGUGUAUGGGGUGUUCAGUUAAAUAUGCUAUGCUUAGGAAUUUUUAGUGUUCAGGUUAGACUUCAGGUAUGCACAUUGCACCAAUAAAUUGUGGAGGUUGUGGUAUGUGGUGUAAGCUAUAGGACAUUGGUUUCGAACUGUGUGAUUUCUGUAGGCCAGUGCACGUGGCAUUGAGACGGAAAAGGACUUAAAACUGGUUCAUUUUUUAGUUUCCUUGCCAGUGUCUUGUUUUAGGCAAUGGGAGGCAAGGGAGAAAGAAAUGAAAAAUUAGGCGCAUGCAAGAAGGAGCUUGAGGGGGAAAAAUGUGUGGCUUUUGCAAUGAAAGAGAAUGAAUGAAGAGAAGCUUUUGCGGAGCUCAGUCUGAAGCACUGCCAAAGUCCAGAAAAGACCUGUAUGUUCAUUGCUGCUGCCGGCCUGAAAAAUGACUGCGAAAGGGAAAGGUUCCAGAGUCCUGUGUCCCUACAGGGAGCAGAUGCCGCAUCCCAAGAUCAAGGGAGGUGAAAAUGGGAAAAGCUCUUUAGGAGAAAGCAUGAAGGAUGACAGUCUAAUCUGAAAGUGGACCAGCAGCAAUCAAGGAUGAAAGAAGAACUGAUUGAAUACCAGUUCUGGCUCUGGUUCUGACAACCCACUCUGUGACUUUGGGUCCUUGUGGAAGAGGACACUGAAGAAAAUAUCCUCGGGAAUUGAGAGCUGUGUCACUUGCCUCUUCAUUUCCUGAUCUCUUCCUAAAGUAAAGAGGCUAAAAUACAUCACAGAUCACAGCUGGAUUUGGACAACAGGCAUCUCCUUUGCAGGGACUUGCACAGAGCCUGAUUUAUUUAUGUAAACAUUUUGCUGUUCACCAGGUAAGAUUAUGGAUUCCUUGACUAGUUUCUCAUCUUCUACCUUCUAGUGGUUAAUCCAACAUGUUUUCAAAAGUCCAACUAAACAUCAAAAUAAAAUAAAAUAUUCUUGUUUCACAGUUUUUAUUUUCAGGCUGUAUAGCUUAAUAUUAUGCAUGGACCUCACCAUUUUUUUAGGUUCCUUGUCUCAAAACAGACUAAAUGGUUCCUCUUUUUUAGUUUUGACUUACACAUAUUAUAUAAGCAGUUGUCUUAACAUUAUACCUGACAAGUUUCACAUUUGUCCCUUUUGGCCUAAUUUUUCCAAUCUAGCAUUAUGUUUUUACCUUUCUUCAGUCAACUCAGAUUUUCCAACACGGUUUCACAUAAAGAUAAUGUUUUCUUAUUGUAAUAGUAACAAGAGUACCUUAGUACUGAUGGCCAUAUGAGUGUUCACCUUUGAAUAAUGUGCUUUAGCCUUUUUUUCCCUCAAAAUAUAGGGAUCUAUGAAAAUGAUCCCAAUCCUGCUUUCAGAUAUCGAGUUUCCUUGUUCCCCUUAAGGUUUGGUUUUCUUGUUUUUUACAGUUACCAGACGUUUACUGUGGUGUUUCCAACUCUUAAUAGAUAUGCAUGGUUUCAUAGAAUGGUAAUUACAGACAAGGUGAAACACUGAAUAAAAGUUUAAAUUGUUCCGAAGGAAUACAAUUCUUACUGGAUUUUAGGAAAUCUAGGAAAAAAAUCCUUAAUGAAUCUGAAUUUGUUAUCUUAAAUUACCACUUAUUCUUUAUUGUGAGCUAUCCUGGCCCUAUUUAUUCAGACAGACAUUUAUAAACUACUACUGACAGACAAAGGUGAAUAGAAAUCCAGGGACUGAAUAUGAAAACUGACCCAAACUAAGUGAACCCCUCUUGACCAUAUCCAGGAAUAUGCCAUACAAUUCUCCUUAGAUUAUAUUUCUCUAAACACACGCAGUUUAGAGAAACAUGCUACAGGAAUUAUGGGGUGUUGUCAGCAAACAAUCAUGAAAUACCAUAGACCAGAACAAGUGGUCUGUUACUUUCUUGAAACUCUAUAGAUUUUGCAGCAAUUCCCUAAAUUAUAUUACUGAUAGAAAGUACUUUAAUAAGUUGUUGACCAAAGAAACUUCAUAUAAACAUUUCACAAGACAACAUUAGACGGAAAUAUAUUUAUUUUAAGAUUUUGAACCUGCACAAUUUAGUUCCUUGAAAAACUUCUGCCUCAGGCUAUGUAUCUUACUGGGGUUGAUGAAUAUGGUCACCAAACCGUAUGAGGUCAAGUGGCCAAGCCCCAGAGUUCAGCCAGAGGGUGGGAAUCCAAGAUGGUGCCACCUGGGCCAUUUCCUCACCGUGAGGGGCAGAGAUGGGAGGGGAAUUCAUGUAUCGGGUUAUACAUUUCCUGAGGACAAAGACUGCAUUUAAUUAACAUAUUCUUAGCAGAAUUCAGAAUGAUACCAUGACCAUCUUAACACACCUUAGUGACGGUGGGGCUUAUUCUUUUUGCACUCUUUCAAGCAAAGCAUUUUCUGGAAUACACUCCCAGAAGGAAUGGUCAUUGGGUAUUUUCUGGGGAAGUGAGGACAGAGAUGCUGCUUUAAUGUAUUCUUUGCCCAAGUGAUAGAGGAAUGGAUUCUGAAUUGCUUUCCUCUUUCUAUUAGAAAAGGGGGGUGGGGAUAAACAGUUUUAUUUUAGGUUUUGGAGCAUCAGGUAUGAAGUAUUAAAAUGAACUGUCAAAGAAAUAAGCCAAUCUAAGAAUCUGUGAUUAGUGAUGGCACUGUCACUUCUCCUCCUCUUCCUUCCCGGGUCCGGGGUCCACCUCAGGCAGCAUGUCCGACCCUGGCUGCAGACACUGACCAAGACGAGAGCACUGUUGCUCCAUUUGUGUUCCUGCCCCAGAACAGCUUUACUGGAAGCUGGAAAGGGUCCCAGGAGGAGACUGCCUCUGCCUCACAUCUUCAGCUGGUCCUUUGGGUCCCACAGGGAAGCUGGGCACUCUCCUGGGUCCUUGUACUGGUUCACCGUGUGGUCUGGGAAGGCUGCUCAAAGGGCCAGCAGCUGACGCUGGGAGAACUGAGCCCAGCUGUGACAACUUUGACUUCCCGAGAGACUUUUAUCUAAUUAGUCCUUAUACUACCUUUGUAAGAGAGGGCAAGUGCCAGAAAGUAUCACCAUGGAAAUGAGCACGUUAAUCGUUAAUCACGGUGGAGACCUUGGAAACUGAGGUUUCAGUGACCACACCUCAUCAGAGCUGGGUGUGGUUUGGGAGCUAGCACCCUAGCGCACAUUUGGGAGGGGUACACCUUAGCCUAACAGCUCUCCUCGUCCCGCAGAUGAACUCGGUUGUGCUACAUCUGUGGUCUGCUCUCCCGUUCACCUUCCUCCUGCCUCAGUGACCUCAUACCCACCCACCCACACACCCAGAAAUGCUUGCUUGCUUUCACUCUUAACUCAACAUUUGGCACAUUGCUUUUAGAAACCCUCUUCCAUUCUUCUCAUUUUGGGUUUAGUGCCACCAUUCUGUCCUGACCUUGAGUCUUUGCUCCUCCUGGGUCCCCUCAGUGCUUCCUAUUCUCUCCUUGACCCUUAAAUGGUACUAUUUGGUUCGGAGGGCCUUCCUUGCUCUCUCCUGGGGAAUGUCCAUCUUCUUUACCUCUUCUUCCUUGGCCUAACGUGUUUAAUCCUUAGCCUUCCUCCAGUCAUAUUUCAGUGUUCCCCAAACUCCAGUUCUUAUGCAGGGGCCCCCUGGUUUUUAGGAAUGAAUCCUGUGAGAAUAUAAUUUGCUAGGUCAUUCUGCCAGCUUUUAUUAAAUAACUGAUUUGUGGGAGGGGCGCCUGGUGGCUCAGUCGUUAAGCGUCUGCCUUCGGCUCAGGUCAUGAUCCCAGGGUCCUGGGAUCAAGCCCCGCAUUGGGCUCCUUGCUCUGUGGGAAGCCUGCUUCUCCCUCUCCCACUCCCUCUGCUUGUGUUCCCUCUCUCACUGUAUCUAUCUCUGUCAAAUGAAUAAAUAAAAUCUUUUAAAAAAAUAAAAAUAACCGAUUUGUGGGAAAGAAUACAGUACUCAACUCUGUGGGGCAAUAGGGGACAUACAUCUGUCCUGGUGGGGAGAUUAUAAUCUGCCUCAAGCCAGGACAUGCAGGGGCUAGAAUGAAAACAACAGCAGGCUAUGGGGAUUUGUAUAGCAGCUGUUAUAUGUUUGUAAAAACAGGUAGGGGCUCACGAAAU